GUGGAUUAGAUACCCGGGUAGUCCAUGCCGUAAACGUUGGGCACUAGGUGUGGGGCUCAUUCCACGAGCUCUGUGCCGCAGCAAACGCAUUAAGUGCCCCGCCUGGGGAGUACGGCCGCAAGGCUAAAACUCAAAGAAAUUGACGGGGGCCCGCACAAGCGGCGGAGCAUGCGGAUUAAUUCGAUGCAACGCGAAGAACCUUACCAAGGCUUGACAUACACCGGAAAAGUGCAGAGAUGUGCUCCCCGUAAGGUCGGUGUACAGGUGGUGCACGGUCGUCGACAACU
rnacentral:rRNA from 1 species